CAGCUACAUUUGGAGCAAAAAAUAUUACUAAUUUCUUAUUAAGGGAGCAAGGGUUAAAUUUUAUUCAGAAAAGUAUUUGGAAGAAUCUUUGAUGCAGAAGGAGCUGCUAACUGCGUUGUUUUUAGGGAUGCGUGAAUAUCUUGCUCCUUUGUUCUGUAGGUGAGAUCCUGAGAACUUGGAAAAAGCUGCCCAAAUGGGAAAACCUUCCUAACAUUAGUCUCCAGAAUGCUGCUCUUUCUCCAAAUGUCACUUAUGUCCGUUGGAAAGUUCAUGGAGAUUGGAUUACUCAGCUGAAUUACUAUGAUUCUUUGAAAGCAGUGAUUUCUUCUUCAAGCCAUGAACCCACAGCACUAGUAAUAGGUAAUUAUAUUACUACUUUGAAAUUCAAGAGAUUAUUCACGUUUGUGUUAUUUGCUGGCUUAUAUAAUUUUUUUCUUCCUGGGUUGUAGCCACAUUUUAGCAGCUCAGUUGAUCAGCUUAACAUCUGUCAGAAAGGGUUUGAACUGGAUAAUCAAGCCCCUUUUUGCUGUUACCUCUUCAGGCAAAGCUUUCUACAUAGGAAUGGAGAUAAUAACAUUUUAUGAGGCCAUCAGAGGUAAAAUAAUGGGAUUCGGUGUCAAAGAAUGAGUAAUACAAGCAAUAUUUUGUUUGCAGGGCUGUUUUGUGCAAAUUGUGUGCACUGCUUUAUUACUGUUUCUAGGGGAAAUUGAGCUUGCAUUUCCAUUGCUAUAUAUCUACAUAAUGAUUUCAAAGGAAAAGAUGGCCACCAAAAUAGAAGGCGAACUCCAUGGCAAUACAGCAUGAUGAAAUUAAAGGUGUCUUUUAUGUUGUAUAAUGCAGUGAUGGUAUGUAAUAAAGAGCACCGAAGACCAGUAUUUUCUGUUGGUCAUGGGAGUUUUGUGUGGAAAGUUUGGCCCAAUUCCAUCGUUGGUGGGUUCAGUCUUCAAAUUUGGGCAUAUUGAGU
rnacentral:lncRNA from 11 species